rnacentral:rRNA from 1 species
ACUCCUACGGGAGGCAGCAGUGGGGAAUAUUGCACAAUGGGCGCAAGCCUGAUGCAGCCAUGCCGCGUGUGUNAGAAGCAGUCCGUUCGGAUGUAAGCACUUUCAGUCGUGAGGAAGGUAGUGUAGUUAAUAGCUGCAUUAUUUGACGUUAGCGACAGAAGAAGCACCGGCUAACUCCGUGCCAGCAGCCGCGGUAAUACGGAGGGUGCGAGCGUUAAUCGGAAUUACUGGGCGUAAAGCGCAUGCAGGUGGUUUGUUAAGUCAGAUGUGAAAGCCCGGGGCUCAACCUCGGAAUUGCAUUUGAAACUGGCAGACUAGAGUACUGUAGAGGGGGUAGAAUUUCAGGUGUAGCGGUGAAAUGCGUAGAGAUCUGAAGGAAUACCGGUGGCGAA